CCAAAGGCUCUUUUCAGAGCCCCCAUCUAAUCAAUCAAAUGAGCUU
rnacentral:ncRNA from 1 species